CAAAGGCUUAGUCCUGACUUUAAUAUCAGCUUUAGCUAGAUUUAUACAUGCAAGUAUCCGCCCUCCUGUGAAAAUGCCCAACUGACCCCUGUUUGGGGGCAAGGAGCCGGUAUCAGGCUCAACCACAACACCUACGCCCAUGACGCCUUGCUUAGCCACACCCCCAAGGGACCUCAGCAGUAAUAGACAUUAAGCCAUGAGCGCCAGCUCGACUUAGUUAAAGCUAAACUAGGGCCGGUAAAACUCGUGCCAGCCACCGCGGUUAUACGAGAGACCCAAGUUGAUAAAAGACGGCGUAAAGAGUGGUUAGGGCCCAAAACCAACUAAAGCCAAAUGCCCACAAAGCUGUUAUACGCAUUCGAGGGCCAGAGGCUCCUCCACGAAAGUGGCUUUAUUUAACUGACCCCACGAAAGCUAGGAAACAAACUGGGAUUAGAAACCCCACUAUGCCCAGCCCUAAACCUUAAUGACUACUUACAGUUGUUGUACGCCCGGGAAUUACGAGCAUAAGCUUAAAACCCAAAAGACUUGGCGGUGCUUUAGACCCACCUAGAGGAGCCUGUUCUAGAACCGAUAACCCCCGUUCAACCUCACCUUUUCUUGUUUAUACCGCCUAUAUACCGCCGUCAUCAGCUUACCCUGUGAAGGAUCAAUAGUAAGCAUAAUUGGCACAGCCCAAAAUGUCAGGUCGAGGUGUAGCGUAUGGGAAGUGGAAGAAAUGGGCUACAUUUGGUGAAACACCACACUACGGAAAGUGGGCUGAAACGCCCGCUGGAAGGGGGAUUUAGUAGUAAGAAGAAAGCAGAGCGUUCUCCUGAAGCCGGCCCUGAAGCGCGUACAUACCGCCCGU
rnacentral:ncRNA from 1 species